GCUCUCAAAAGUGCAUAUACUAUUGUCCCCCUGGUACUGUGUGCCAUGAGAAGAAAUUUUGUGAAAAUAGUAUCUGACCAUUUUUGAAAGCAUUUUGGGUUUAUCACAGAUUCAUUUUGCUUAGAAGAAAGGUUCCUCAGCAAUGACAAUUAUAAGUUCUGAAGAGAAUGCAUUAAGCAGCUAUCUGAAGACUAUGAAGAGUAAACAGACUCACUGGAGAAGACCAUUAUUUUGAAGUACAACCAAACUGGCAGAGCCUUGAGGAUACAGAUAAUGCCCCAUGAAGAUUGCCAGUCGCAACCAAAGAAGCCAACGAAUCCCGAGACUCCUUCCUCUCAUCUGAGAUCAGAUAGGGUGAGAGCUCCGUGAAUCCCCCAAUAGGUAGGGACAGCUCUACACCCCCGCGCAGCAGGAAGCAGACACAGAAGAGAAGACCUCCUAUCCCUCAACUUCCCAUAGAGAUUUUUAUGAGGAUCACAUCUCUCAAGGGGGAAAACAAGGCAGGCAGUUAGAGAUAGACAUUGGGUCUCUGCAUUCCUACACAACCCACAGAAUGCGACCGCCCAAAAGACCUCUACUCUAUGCCCAGAACUUCCCCUUCUCGCUAUAAUUAUCUACCUCUAUGAGGAAACAAAUUCGUACAAAAUACCCAACUGGAUUAGACCAGUCACUCACACCUGCGCAGUAAAGGCCACAAUGACAUUCAUUUCACCUGGGCCUCAUUAUACCAUCAUCAUA